GGUGGAGCCUACAGAGGCAGGCAGGCCUCCUUGAGCUCUGGUGGGCUCCACCCAGUUCGAGCUUCCCGGCUGCUUUAUUUACCUAAGCAAGCCUGGGCAAUGGCGGGUGCCCCUACCCCAGCCUCGCUGCCGCCUUGCAGGUUGAUCUCAGACUGCUGUGCUAGCAAUCAGCGGGACUCCGUGGGCGUAGGACCCUCCGAGCCAGGUGAUACGAAGCCUUCUGAAGAUUUGAAUCAAGGAAAUGAGGAGCCAUUGAAGAAUACUGUUGUCCUAUCCCAGAAGGAGCAAGCGGACAACACUGAUAUCCUGACCACUAACCAUCCAGCACCACUUAAAGAGGUCCCAAAACCCCCGGCUGUCUACCAAUACCCAUCUGUGACCUCUUAGGAACCGAGCUUCACAGCAGGAGGUGAAUGGUGGACAAGCGAGCAUUAUCGCCUCAGCUCCACCUCCUGUCAGCCACACUCUCCUCUUUGGUCUUUCCUGGUACGCAGCAUACAAGCCCACAGAUUGAGGACUCUGCACUUGCUGUUCUCUCUGCCUGGAGCUCUAUGGCUCCAGAUAGACUCCUGCCAACUCCUUCGCCUUGUCCAAGUUACCUUCAUUAAAUGUCAGCUUAAAUGUGUGCCUACUUUUUGCCCUACCUAGAAUUGCAAGCACCUCUCACCACUGUGCUCCCAUUCUCCUUAACUUAAGCCACUUUUAUUCUCAUAAUAAAGCCACAUAUUUUUUCUUAUUAUAUCAUAAUCGUACUGUAUAAUUUAUAUUUUAUUACUUUUGUUUGUAUACUUAUUGUAUGUUUCUGUUCACAAGGAUGUAAACCCCAUGAACACAGAGAUCUUUGAUUGUUUUAUUCACUGAUUUAUGCCAAAUGUUUGGAACAAUGCCUGGCACAUAGUAGAUGUUUGAUAAUUUUUUUUUUUUCUGAAUGAAUAAAUACAUUUUAGCCAAA
ensembl:lncRNA LINC01393 long intergenic non-protein coding RNA 1393